CCUUUCGAAAGGAAGAUUAAUACCGCAUAAGCCUGCAGCACCGCAUGGUGCAGCAGGAAAAGGAGCAAUCCGCUUUGAGAUGGACCCGCGGCGCAUUAGCUAGUUGGUGAGGUAACGGCUCACCAAGGCCACGAUGCGUAGCCGACCUGAGAGGGUGAUCGGCCACAUUGGAACUGAGACACGGUCCAG
rnacentral:rRNA from 1 species